rnacentral:rRNA from 1 species
GGUUGAUCCUGCCGGAGGUCAUUGCUAUUGGGGUCCGAUUUAGCCAUGCUAGUUGCACGAGUUCAUACUCGUGGCGAAAAGCUCAGUAACACGUGGCCAAACUACCCUACAGAGAACGAUAACCUCGGGAAACUGAGGCUAGUAGUUCAUACGGGAGUCAUGCUGGAAUGCCGACUCCCCGAAACGCUCAGGCGCUGUAGGAUGUGGCUGCAGCCGAUUAGGUAGACGGUGGGGUAACGGCCCACCGUGCCGAUAAUCGGUACGGGUUGUGAGAGCAAGAGCCCGGAGACGGAAUCUGAGACAAGAUUCCGGGCCCUACGGGGCGCAGCAGGCGCGAAACCUUUACACUGCACGCAAGUGCGAUAAGGGGACCCCAAGUGCGAGGGCAUAUAGUCCUCGCUCUUCUCGACUGUAAGGCGGUCGAGGAAUAAGAGCUGGGCAAGACCGGUGCCAGCCGCCGCGGUAAUACCGGCAGCUCAAGUGAUGACCGAUAUUAUUGGGCCUAAAGCGUCCGUAGCCGGCCACGAAGGUUCAUCGGGAAAUCCGCCAGCUCAACUGGCGGGCGUCCGGUGAAAACCACGUGGCUUGGGACCGGAAGGCUCGAAGGGUACGUCCGGGGUAGGAGUGAAAUCCCGUAAUCCUGGACGGACCACCGAUGGCGAAAGCACCUCGAGAAGACGGAUCCGACGGUGAGGGACGAAAGCUAGGGUCUCGAACCGGAUUAGAUACCCGGGUAGUCCUAGCUGUAAACGAUGCUCGCUAGGUGUGACACAGGCUACGAGCCUGUGUUGUGCCGUAGGGAAGCCGAGAAGCGAGCCGCCUGGGAAGUACGUCCGCAAGGAUGAAACUUAAAGGAAUUGGCGGGGGAGCACUACAACCGGAGGAGCCUGCGGUUUAAUUGGACUCAACGCCGGACAUCUCACCAGCUCCGACUAUAGUGAUGACGAUCAGGUUGA